rnacentral:rRNA from 1 species
CCCUACGGGGCGCAGCAGUAGGGAAUUUUCGUCAAUGGGCGCAAGCCUGAACGAGCAAUGCCGCGUGAACGAGGAAGGUCUUCGGAUCGUAAAGUUCUGUUGAAGGGGGAAAAGAGCGGAGAGAGGAAAUGCUUUCUGAUUGAUAUUACCCUUCGAGGAAGUCACGGCUAACUACGUGCCAGCAGCCGCGGUAAUACGUAGGUGGCGAGCGUUAUCCGGAAUGAUUGGGCGUAAAGGGUGCGUAGGCGGCCUGCUAAGUCUGGAGUGAAAGGUACCGGCUCAACCGGUACAGGCUCUGGAAACUG